GGGAUUGUAGCUCAGUGGUAGAGCACUUGCCUUGCACGCAUAAGGCACUGGGUUUGAUCCUCAGCACCCA
rnacentral:tRNA from 1 species